rnacentral:rRNA from 1 species
UACGUAGGGUGCAAGCGUUAAUCGGAAUUACUGGGCGUAAAGGGUGCGUAGGCGGUUUGUCGCGUCUGCUGUGAAAAUCCGGGGCUCAACCCCGGACUUGCAGUGGGUACGGGCAGACUGGAGUGUGGUAGGGGAGACUGGAAUUCCUGGUGUAGCGGUGGAAUGCGCAGAUAUCAGGAGGAACACCGAUGGCGAAGGCAGGUCUCUGGGCCGUAACUGACGCUGAGGAGCGAAAGCAUGGGGAGCGAACAGG